CCUACGGGUGGCACCAGUGGGGAAUAUUGCACAAUGGGCGCAAGCCUGAUGCAGCCAUGCCGCGUGUAUGAAGAAGGCCUUCGGGUUGUAAAGUACUUUCAGCGAGGAGGAAGGCGAUAAGGUUAAUAACCGUGUCGAUUGACGUUACUCGCAGAAGAAGCACCGGCUAACUCCGUGCGAGCAGCCGCGGUAGUACGGAGGGUGCAAGCGUUAAUCGGAAUUACUGGGCGUAAAGCGCACGCAGGCGGUCUGUCAAGUCGGAUGUGAAAUCCCCGGGCUCAACCUGGGAACUGCAUUCGAAACUGGCAGGCUAGAGUCUUGUAGAGGGGGGUAGAAUUCCAGGUGUAGCGGUGAAAUGCGUAGAGAUCUGGAGGAAUACCGGUGGCGAAGGCGGCCGCCUGGACAAAGACUGACGCUCAGGUGCGAAAGCGUGGGGAGCAAACAGGAUUAGAUACCCUUGUAGUC
rnacentral:rRNA from 1 species